UGGGUGACCUAUCUUUCAGUGAGGAAUACCGGCGAGAAAUCGCCGACAAGACCGCAUCCGUUCUGCUGUCUGAGGCAGCAGAAGAAAGCCGCAAGGCGCUGGAAGCUGGGCCCGUGGCCGAUUAGCUAGUUGGUGGGGUAAGGGCCCACCAAGGCAGUGAUCUGUAUCCGGCCUGAGAGGGCGCACGGACACACUGGAACUGAAACACGGCCCAG
rnacentral:rRNA from 1 species